rnacentral:lncRNA from 1 species
AUAUAAGCCACAUCUAGUAUUUCAAUUAAUAGGAUGAGCAGUGCAGAUGUCACGCCAAACAAAUUCAGCCAUAUUUCAGAAGAGGUCAGUAGAGUAAAAGAAAUUGGUAUGUCUGUGGUCUCACAAAAAAGCCAGGGCACUUUUCUUCAAGAAUUUUUCUACCUGUCAACCUGGAUCCGUGACAUUUUGUGUGAGCAAUUAUUUGGACUGCAGCAAACAAGUCAUAAAUCUGCCUGCCAAGUCUUGCUUGAAACAACAGUUUUGAUGCUUUUCCUGCUACUCUGAUCUUUGCACAGGUUGAUACCUGCGUAUGAUGAAGGCAAAAUGGGGUAUGCAUUUGUCCUUAUGAUGAUGAGCUUCAGAGUGCAAUGGAGUUUAUGGUCUGUACUCUGAAUUACAUAUUUGAGCUGCAAGCAUUAGCACCUGUGUAAGGUGUGGUAACUUCCAUGGUUCCUGGGAGCAUUGCUAUCUCCUGGUGUCUCAGGAGGAUCCAGCAGAGCUGACUUAGAUGAGCCCAUAUUCUUAGAGUCAGCUUUUAGUGACUCUCUUGAUUCCAUGUUUAUGAAAUUUUGCUGUAGAAGUUGGCCAUUUAGUGUAAAGGUGGGCUACAACCAGGGUAAGUUCUGUUGUCAAAUACUGAUGAUGAGAUGUGCUUUUCUUUCAGUGUUCCCAAUUUAGUUUGCAUUUGUAAUAAAUCUAUGUGCACAGGGCA